rnacentral:lncRNA from 1 species
AAGAGCAAGAUAGAGUUUAAGUGGAGUGCACAAGUGAUGGGAUGGUCAAUGUCAAGCCAACCUUUGCUACAGUGCUAGACAUAGCUUAUUACAUUUUGAUGUGUUCAAACUAGCUAGUGUGAGUCGGAUACCUUAUGUGUUUUAGCUGUGGUGCGUUAUCGACUAAGUUUGACAUUGGAUGGUUUCAUUAAUAAUUUCUACGAACAAAACAUAUUUUGGAUUAAUGGAUGUCUAAAUGCUUCUUUCACCAUAUAUUGUUUGGCAUGCAAUUAUUGUUUGAAGCAAACAAAG